rnacentral:rRNA from 1 species
UACGUAGGGGGCAAGCGUUGUCCGGAAUCAUUGGGCGUAAAGAGCGCGUAGGCGGCCCAGUAAGUCCGCUCUGAAAGUCAGGGGCUCAACCUCUGAAUGCGGGUGGAUACUGCUGGGCUAGAGUCCGGAAGAGGCGAGUGGAAUUCCUGGUGUAGCGGUGAAAUGCGCAGAUAUCAGGAGGAACACCGAUGGCGAAGGCAGGUCUCUGGGCAUUAACUGACGCUGAGGAGCGAAAGCAUGGGGAGCGAACAGG